rnacentral:rRNA from 1 species
GAUGAACGCUGGCGGCAUGCCUAACACAUGCAAGUCGGACGGGAGGUCGUGAUUCCAGUGGCGGUCGGGUGAGCAACGCGCGAGAGCGUGCCCUUGGGAGGGGAACCACAGCUGGCAACGGCUGCUACUACCCCGUAGGCUGAGGAGCAAAAGGUGGAAUCCGCCAGAGGAGGGGCUUGCGACUGAUUAACUAGCUGGUGCGGCAAUAGCUUACCGAGGUGCUGAACAGUAGCUGGUAGGAGAGGAAGAUCGGCCACACUGGUACGGAGGCACGGAGCAGGCUCUUUCGGGAAACGGGAGUGAGGAAGAUUCAGCAAUGGGCGGUGGGCGGACGAGGCAUUGGGGUGGGGAAGUAGAAUUCCUAGGGAAGAAGAACUGCUUUUCCCGGAGAAGAAGCAAUGACGGUACCUAAGGAAUAAGCAUCGGCUAACUCCGUG